AUUGAACGCUGGCGGCAGGCCUAACACAUGCAAGUCGAACGAGUGGCGGACGGGUGAGUAAUGUCUGGGAAACUGCCCGAUGGAGGGGGAUAACUACUGGAAACGGUAGCUAAUACCGCAUACCAUCGGAUGUGCCCAGAUGGGAUUAGCUAGUAGGUGGGGUAACGGCUCACCUAGGCGACGAUCCCUAGCUGGUCUGAGAGGAUGACCAGCCACACUGGAACUGAGACACGGGCCAGACUCCUACGGGAGACAGCGUUGAGGAAUAUUGCACAAUGGGCGCAAGCCUGAUGCAGCCAUGCCGCGUGUAUGACGAAGGCCUUCGGGUGGUAGAGUACUUUCAGCGAGGAGGCGUUACUCGCAGAAGAAGCACCGGCUAACUCCAUGCCAGCAGCCGCGGUAAUAC
rnacentral:rRNA from 1 species